ACAAAAGCAAUAGCUUUAAUGGGUUUGACCCACUUCAAGGUAAUAAAAGGAUUUAGAAAUCCCUAAUAACUAAACUCAGAGAAAGAGAAAGAGAACGAUUGCCAGAGAAGAAAAAUAAGGGUUUGUUUUCGGUGGUGGUAACAGGUGUGUAGCAAACUUGCUUUGUUUGAUCUACAAUUCUGAGAGGUUAUUUCUACCACUGAGUUUGUUAUUUUAAUAUACAAUUUGAGUAGUUUUAUUUUCUCUUUG
rnacentral:lncRNA from 1 species